rnacentral:sRNA from 1 species
GAGAUGGGUGCCCCCAUCCGCACACUGUCCUUUGGCCACCGGACAUCAUGCCUCCCAAGAAGGAUGUUCCCGUGAAGAAACCAGCAGGGCCCUCCAUCUCCAAACCUGCUGCUAAGCCAGCAGCAGCAGGGGCUCCUCCAGCCAAGACCAAAGCUGAGCCAGCUGUCCCCCAGGCCCCUCAGAAAACCCAGGAGCCUCCAGUCGAUCUCUCCAAAGUGGUGAUCGAGUUUAACAAGGACCAGCUGGAGGAGUUCAAGGAGGCCUUCGAGCUGUUUGACCGAGUGGGGGAUGGCAAGAUCCUGUACAGCCAGUGUGGGGACGUGAUGAGGGCCCUGGGCCAGAACCCCACCAACGCCGAGGUGCUCAAGGUCCUGGGGAACCCCAAGAGUGAUGAGCUGAAGUCCCGGCGUGUGGACUUUGAGACUUUCCUGCCCAUGCUCCAGGCAGUGGCCAAGAACCGAGGCCAAGGCACAUAUGAGGACUACUUGGAGGGGCUUCGUGUGUUUGACAAGGAGGGGAACGGCAAAGUCAUGGGAGCAGAGCUCAGACAUGUUCUCACCACCCUUGUACUAGGGUGAAAUGGAAAGCAAGAGGCAUCCAUGACCAGGGGAGGAUUCCCUUGAGGACUGAGGCUAUGGG